rnacentral:rRNA from 1 species
GAUCAGAUAGGAAUACCCGCUGAACUUAAGCAUAUCAAUAAGCGGAGGAAAAGAAACCAACAGGGAUUGCCCUAGUAACGGCGAGUGAAGCGGCAACAGCUCAAAUUUGAAAUCUGGCCUCUGGCCCGAAUUGUAAUUUGGAGAAGGUGCUUCGGAAGAGAUGGUGGUCUAAGUCCCUUGGAAUAGGGCGUCAUAGAGGGUGAGAAUCCCGUAUGUGACCGAUCAUUGAUUCCAUGUGAAGUCCUUUCGACGAGUCGAGUUGUUUGGGAAUGCAGCUCUAAAUGGGUGGUAAAUUUCAUCUAAAGCUAAAUAUCUGCCAGAGACCGAUAGCGCACAAGUAGAGUGAUCGAAAGAUGAAAAGCACUUUGAAAAGAGAGUCAAACAGUACGUGAAAUUGUUGAAAGGGAAGCGCUUGCAAUCAGACUCGUUUGCAGAAGCUUAGCCUUCUUACGGGAUGGUGUACUCUUUUGCCAACGGGCCAGCAUCAGUUUCGGCGGUUGGAUAAAGAUUCUAGGAACGUAGCUCUUUUCGGAGAGUGUUAUAGCCUGGAAUGUAAUGUAGCCAGCUGAGACUGAGGUCCGCGCUUUUGCUAGGAUGCUGGCGUAAUGAUUGUUAGCGACCCGUCUUGAAACACGGACCAGUGAGUUAUCCUGAUAAUUAUAUACGAUAUACGUGCUAAUAACAAUUGCAGAGGAGUCGACCAAUGACGCGAGUGUUUGGGUGUAAAACCCAUGCGCGCAAUGAAAGUGAACGUAGGUGGGAGUCUUCGGAUGCACCAUCGACCGAUCUUGAUGUUUUCGGAUGGAUUUGAGUAUGAGCAUUAUUGGUCGGACCCGAAAGGUAAUUUUAACUCAAUGUUUUUCCGAGGCCUUGACUAAUUGAUUCCAGAUGGUGAACUAUACGUGAAUAGGGUGAAGUCAGAGGAAACUCUGAUGGAGGCUCGCAGCGGUUCUGACGUGCAAAUCGAUCGUCAAAUUUGCGUAUAGGGGCGAAAGACUAAUCGAACCGUCUAGUAGCUGGUUCCUGUCGAAGUUUCCCUCAGGAUAGCAGCAACGAAUAAAGCAGUCUCAUGAGGUAGAGCAACGAUUAGAGGCCUUGGGGUCGAAAUGACCUUAACCUAUUCUCGAACUUCGAAUAUGUGAGAAGUCCUUGUUACUUAAUUGAACGUGGACAUUUGGAUGCAUCGUUGCUAGUGGGCCAUUUUUGGUAAGCAGAACUGGCGAUGCGGGAUGAACCGAACGUGAGGUUACGGUGCCGGAAUACACGCUCAUCAGAUCCCACAAAAGGUGUUAGUUCAUCUAGACAGCAGGUGUGUAUUCCUAUGUUGUAAUUCUCAGUCGUUUACUAAUAAUAUCAGGACGGUGGCCAUGGAAGUCGGAAUCCGCUAAGGAUCGUGUAACAACUCACCUGCCGAAUGAACUAGCCCUGAAAAUGGAUGGCGCUCAAGCGUGUUACCUAUACCUCGCCGCUGUAGUAGAAACUAUGCUUCAGCGAGUAGGCAGGCGUGGAGGUCCGUGACGAAGCUUUGGGAGUGAUCCUGAGUCGAACGGCCUCUAGUGCAGAUCUUGGUGGUAGUAAGUUCAGCCAAUCAGCUUUUGAUUGGUAAGCUUCACAUGCUAAUAGUGUGAUAUAGGUAGCAAAUAUUCAAGUGAGAACCUUGAAGACUGAAGUGGGGAAGGGUUCCGAAUGAACAGCAGUUGGAUUCGGGUUAGUCGGUCCUAAGCCGCAGGGUAGCUCCGUAAACGUGCGUCCUGUACGCCGAGCGGCGAAAGGGAAGUUGGUUAAUAUUCCAACACGUGGAUAUGGAUUCUCCGCGGCAACGCAAACGAAGGCGGAGACAUUGGCGGGAGCCCUGGGAAGAGUUCUCUUUUCUUCUUAACUGUCUAUCACCCUGAAAUCGGUUUGUCCGGAGCUAGGGUUUAAUGGCAGGCAGAGCCCAACACCUAUGUUGGGUCCGGUGCGCUCUCGACGAUCCUUGAAAAUCCGCCAGAGGGAAUAGUCUUCAUGCCACUCCGUACUUAUAACCGCAGCAGGUCUCCUAGGUGAACAGCCUCUAGUUGACAAAAUAAUGUAGGCAAGGGAAGUCGGCAAAUUAGAUUCGUAAGUACAAACUUCAACUAUAGAACGGUGGAUUGGCUAACAGGGUCGUUUAAGGUAACUUCGGGAAAAGAAUUGGCUCUAAGGAUCGGGCUUGUUGGGCCUUUGGUGCACCGUUCCGGAGCAGUUUAUAACUAGCCGGGCAACCGGCCGGAUGUAGACAGCAUCGGAGCGUGGACGCCUUUGGCAGGCUUCGGCCGUCCGGCUUGCAAUUAACGAUCAACUUAGAACUGGUACGAACAAGGGGAAUCUGACUGUCUAAUUAAAACAUAGCUUUGCGAUGGCCAGAAAAUGGUGUUGACGCAAAGUGAUUUCUGCCCAGUGCUCUGAAUGGUGAGUAGAACAAGUUGGACUUGUAGCGGUCUUUGCUAAUGAUGCGUUCUAGUCAAAGUGAAGAAAUUCAACCAAGCGCGGGUAAACGGCGGGAGUAACUAUGACUCUCUUAAGGUAGCCAAAUGCCUCGUCAUCU